AUUGAACGCUGGCGGCAGGCCUAACACAUGCAAGUCGAACGAGUGGCGGACGGGUGAGUAAUGUCUGGGAAACUGCCCGAUGGAGGGGGAUAACUACUGGAAACAGUAGCUAAUACCGCCUACCAUCGGUUGCGCCCAGAUGGGAUUAGCUAGUAGGGGGGGUAACGGCUCCCCUAGGCGACGAUCCCUAGCUGGUCUGAGAGGAUGACGAGCCACACUGGAACUGGGACACGGUCCAGACUCCUACGGAAGGCAGCAGUGGGGAAUAUUGCACAAUGGGCGCAAGCCGGAUGCAGCCAGGCCGCGUGUAUGAAGAAGGCCUUCGGGUUGUAAAGUACGUUCAGCGAGGAGGCGUUACUCGCAGAAGAAGCACCGGCUAACUCCGUGCCAGCCGCCGCGGUAAUAC
rnacentral:rRNA from 1 species